GCGGUGGGUCACAAGGCACGAUGGGGAUUUGAAGGCUAGAAGGGCCCUGUUUCCAGCCCCGCCCCUCUGCCAGGCCGUUGGCUCUGCUGCUUCGCCCGUUAUCCAGUCCCAACCGCCGGGCCUGUAGGACAAUGUAGGAGCCAUGGAAUCCUAUCAUACCAGCUUGUGGCCAUCACCUUGGAUUCUGUCAGUUCUCCCCAUCAUCUGUUGGAGUGGAUGAAGGUCUGUAGCAAUUCAGCAACCUGGACAAGGACUGGCCCAAGGUUCUUUUGAAGGGAAAAUUAUCUCUGGCAUAAAGAAGGCACAGACAAGUGAAGGAAAUGGCUAUCAAGUUCCUGGUCAUGUACGAGGAGAGAUACUGUGGUUUCUGCUCAUAAGUGGUGCCAGAGAGAGUGUGGCAAAAAUUCAGCAAAGCAACCUGGCAGUAACAAGAUACCACCACAAAAUGUAAUCCUGAAUGUAAUUCACCUAUCUAUACAUCUCCAUUUUUCAUGCCGGACAAUGACUAUAGUGGGACCACAAAGCAAAACAAUGUAUUUUCACCGACACACCAUGAGAACUAAUGAUACAGUGAAGCCUUCCCUAAUUCACACUAACAACUAAGAGACCCAUCGUGAGUAACUGAGAUUUGUGAAUUAGCCAGGGGAUAUGCACAAAGCAAAGAUGCCGCCUUACAAAAGUCUGAAGAGCUAGUAUUAAGAAGCACGAGGUUAUUGUCUCCACGUGUUACAAAGUCUGAUCAUCUUUUCUAUAACCAGUAGGGGAAUGUGUUUGUUAAGAUCAUUUAUGAAUAAGUUGAAUAGGAUGGUCCUAGGACUGACCCUUGGAUUCGGCCCUCUCCUAUUUGCAGAAGCAGUGGGAUAAGCUGGCUUCUUAAUGCUCAAGAAAGUGAUGGAAAAGAAGCUUCUCAACUGUGCCAACCUGCACUGUGUGAUCCCCAGUGGGGCAUGGCCUUGGAGUUAAUUCACCACAAGGAAUCCUUCCCUACCUGGUAGAAUUCUUUCUGCAGAGGAUAAGCUGGGUGGCAGCUGUGUUCGUCUUUACUGUGCCAGCCAGGUCAGGCUUUGUUCUAAGGCAUUAAAUGAUGAAAGAUAAAAAUCUCAAAUGUUAAUCCAAGUUCAGGAAGAAAAAUACCCAGAGGUUGAUCCUGUGUGUUACUGAACGUCCCAUCAGAUGGUAGGUGAUGAUCAGACAGAAGAAGCCACGAACUAUUGUUUCAUGAUGUUCUAUACUGUAAUUGCAGGGCAUUGCCUACUUCUAUGGGACAUUUGGGACAGCCCUUUCCCUCUAUCUGAGUAACCACCCUGGCAGCGUCUUUACAAGUGAGGCUUUCUUAGAAAGAUCGUUGGGCCUAGUCCGCAGACUGGCAGAGAGAGUGAUAGCCAGGACAUCUCAGCUGUCCCCAACCUAGCGAUUAAGUUUGUCAUCUCAGGCAUAGCUUUUCUCACUCAGCAAGGGGGGUUAAGAAUCCCAUGGCCUCUCAGAGACAGGGUCUGCACAGAGCCACUCAGAACUCUGCUGAUGUGUUACAGAAU